GAAAGUUGAAAAGAACUUUGAAGAGAGAGUUCAAAAGGGCGUGAAACCGCUUAGAAGAAAACGGACGGAGCCGUCGGGAGCCUUCGGGAAUCAGUCGUACGAUAAGCGAACGUAUCGCGUUUCGGAGCGCAAGUCCGAACGCGGUAUGAUAGUAGCAUUCGUUCGGCGCAUUUCUCGAAGGUAAGCACCGCGACCGAUACGAAAGGUCGACGAAGCGUUUUGAUUGAGGUCGAGUCCUCUCGCGGGGACUCGUAACCAGUCGAUUCGUUUUAAGUCGUCGAACCGCAGUAUGUAUCGAGCGCUAAAGUAAAAUAUACGUCGGCCGUAAAGCUCACUCGAGUAGCGGAUAGUCGGUCAAUAGCGUUUUUACCUGCUCGCAGGUAUUAAUCUAUUCGGUCCGGCUUAGAAGCUAUCGGUGAAAUUUCGACGUAUAGGCGUCAGCGGUGUCAGUGUCGGCCACCCAUCCGACCCGUCUUGAAACACGGACCAAGGAGUCUAACAUAUGCGCGAGCUAAUGGGUGGAAAACCCAAAGGCGCAAUAAAAGUAAACGCUGUUUCGGACAGCUAAGGUACGAUCCUAGAGUCCACGCGACUAUAGGCGCAGUACCGUCCCGUCCCGACCGCAUAUCGGUAGGGCGGAGAUAGAGUGCAUACGUUGGGACCCGAAAGAUGGUGAACUAUGCCUGAGCAGAGCGAAGCCAGAGGAAACUCUGGUGGAGGUUCGUAGCGGUUCUGACGUGCAAAUCGAUCGUCAGACUUGGGUAUAGGGGCGAAAGACAU
rnacentral:rRNA from 1 species